GGUCUCGACACGCAAAUUCUGCUCCUGGCGUUGGCCGUCAGUGGAAGAGCGUAGCUUCGGUGGAUUUUGUGACGAGCGGAUUUACAAUGAGGGAAUGCUGUGAACAGGAAAAAUGAUGAGCUGUCCUAACUUGCCCAGACAUGCCAUGAUGACGUCACAGCUGACGUCACAGGAUGUCCGGAACUGGUGCUGCGAUGCUUUGCAACCUGCCUCCGUGCUCCGUCGCCCAGCGACAGUCAGCGGCCGUUCCGGACCGCUUUCUACAAGAUGGCGUCGUUGAUC